AUUGAACGCUGGCGGCAGGCCUAACACAUGCAAGUCGAGCGGUAGAGAGGUGCUUGCAUCUCUUGAGAGCGGCGGACGGGUGAGUAAUGCCUAGGAAUCUGCCUAGUGGUGGGGGAUAACGUUCGGAAACGGACGCUAAUACCGCAUACGUCCUACGGGAGAAAGCGGGGGGUCUUCGGACCUCGCGCCAUUAGAUGAGCCUAGGUCGGAUUAGCUAGUUGGUGAGGUAAUGGCUCACCAAGGCGACGAUCCGUAACUGGUCUGAGAGGAUGAUCAGUCACACUGGAACUGAGACACGGUCCAGACUCCUACGGGAGGCAGCAGUGGGGAAUAUUGGACAAUGGGCGAAAGCCUGAUCAGCCAUGCCGCGUGUGUGAAGAAGGUCUUCGGAUUGUAAAGCACUUUAAGUUGGGAGGAAGGGUCGUAACCUAAUACGUUGCGGCUUUGACGUUACCGACAGAAUAAGCACCGGCUAACUUCGUGCCAGCCGCCGCGGUAACAC
rnacentral:rRNA from 1 species